CUCUGUCUCUGUCUCUGUCUCUGUCUCUCUGUCUCUCUCUCUCUCUCUCUCUCUCUCUCUCUCUCUCUCUCUGUCUCUCUCUCUCUCUGUGUCUCUCCCCCUCUCUCUCUGUCUCUGUCUCUCUGCUUCUGUACAGAAGUGCCCGCCUCCCGUGCACCGUGUUGCACCUUUCUGCUUGCUGUUUUGGCCCACCUCCCCAAGGAGGGGUUCCAGGAAGAACUCGGACCCAUUGCUGCCAGGAAUGGGAAAGGAGAGGACGGUGGCGUCGUGCUGGCCCAAGGAGAUGGCCCGCCACCGCCGCCUUGCCCUGGACCUCCGCAGGAGCUGCCGCGGGCCGCUUCCCUUGCUCAGAUCAGGAGGAGGCUGGCAGCGCGAGGCCCGGUCACGGCUCGAGCCUCAGAUGGUCUCCGACAACAACGGCAGCAGCUUCUCUGGGUCUGUCGAGGCUCCACGAGGUCUGGCUCCGAGCGGGGUCCCCGUGCCCAGGUCCCGGGCUCAGGAUCUGGGUCCUGCUAGCUGACUGCCCUGCAGCCCCGAGGAAGACGGGCCCCCAGGAGAGGCCGAGGCUGGCCGGCCGGCCCUGACUGUUGUGACCGAGGGCCAGCGUUCGAGGCCCUACGGUCCUGUCACAGCCCCGGUGGAACACGCAGGCCCAGCCUUCCCCCAGCCUUGCCCAGCCCUCCCGGGACCCCGCGGAUUCCUACAAGAGGAGCAGGAGAAUCCCCGGGACCUUCCCAGGAAUCCAGAAGGAGAACCGCCCGCAGCGCCGAGGAGAGUGUUUGCCCAUGUUUCUGAAGAGGGGCUUUCCAGAGAAAAGCUACAUGUUGCCAUCGGGGCAGGGCCACGUGCCUUGGAGUCCUGGAACUUUAGAGUUGGACCCCCUCACCUGAGCCCCUUAUCUUGCCACAGAGGAAACUGAGGCUCAGAGAGGUUACUGUGAUUCAGCCACGAUCCCAUGGAUGUGUUUAGAAGGACUGGAACUUGAACCCGGGGCCUCAGGGCUCUUUCUACUCCUUGCCCCUCGCCAUCUCUCUUGGCUUGUUCUCCAACUUCCUCUCAACAGGUAGUGAUGGAGCUGGCAGAAGAGAGGCCAGAGUGAGGGAGGAGGAACAGGGUCUGCUGUUUGGCCAGGCCAAAGUCCAUCAGAGAGUCACUGGCCAGAACGGCGUGGAAGCCGCAGCUCGAGAGCAGAUGGUCCUGGAGCUCCGUCCAACGCAGGAGUCACUGCGAGCAGGCUGAGGUUCCGGGACCUCCUGGCCAGGGAGAGCGUCCGGGCUCCUGGGGGCAACCAGGGCACCCUUUCCCCCAUGCACAGCGGCCUUCCCAGACCGAGCACAGGAAGGGCUUCGCCCCUUUGCCAGGGACACAGAGUGGGUGGCUCGGCUCACCUGCCCUCAUGCUGCCAACACCGAUGCAGCAGCGCGUCGGGCACAAUUCGGAAUGUUGUUUUGCUCAGAAUUCCGGCUCUCCACCGAGGAGACAGCGUGGAAGGCAACUGGCCUCAGUGGUGUGGGCCAAGCGCGCCUUGGACAAGAUCGGUACAGGCUGCAGGGCCAGGACGCUCAGAGCCAAACCUCGUCCUCUGCAUUCCCGCCAGUCUCCCGGGGAUUUCUGCCGCUCUGCCAGGAUCCUGGCCACGCUCGUGGCGGCCCCCGUGGUGUCCGGGGCUCUCCUUGGACGAAGCCAGAAGGCAGUCGGGGAUGCUGAGCUUUGCAAAGGCCCGGGGCGGGGGCCAAGCUCCUUAGCAGCGGCGGGGGCGGGGUGAUGGGCGUGGGCUCCAUGUGACGUGGACCCGGCAGAGACCGUUUCCACUCGCGGGCCGAAGUCCACGCGGCGUGGAGAGGAUCGGCAUCGUGCGGGGGCGGGGGCCGAGGGAAGCUCAUUGGCCCUGCGCUGGACGGCGGGUGUCUUCUCUGGGGCACGCGGGCCAGAGGGGCGGGGCCUCUCUGGGCGUUACCCCGGCCGUGGGGGCCUGCGGAAGUGGUCUCCGCCCAGCGUCCUGCUCCGGGCCCGGAGCUCGCCGAGCCUUUGCCGUCCCGCCUCUCGCACCUGUUUUUCACGGCCGACAGCGAAGGCCACUUAGUCCCCUUGAAGCUGCGCGGCUGCUCCGGACUUCUGGGACUGCCCUUCAGUGGAAUGUACUCUGCAGGCCUUGAAUGCAGAGCCCGCCAGAGUGUCCUCCCCCCGCAGCGUCACGGUCCCAACGAGCCGGAAUCCAUUUCCUGGUCCUUUCCGGACCAUCCGCGAUUCUGCGUGUUGUAGAUAGGCUCCGGCGGGGCCCGCAGCCGAGAGGAAAGAGUAGCCUGAAAAUGGCCCAUCCGGCCCCAGAUGCCCUCUUUAUGUGGAGAGAAGCAGCCGAAGGCCGCCGGAGGGGCUUGCACAGAGCACGGCCCCACCGAGGGGGCUCACCGGCCCAGGACCUCUCGGGCAGGCAGGGUGGGGCCUCCUGGCUCGGCACCUCCUUUUGUUCGGUUCAGGCCAAAUGCAGGGUCUUGAUGGCCCCGCCAUGAGGCCGGGCGGGGCUCCAGGAGCAGCUCGGAACUCUCUCCCGUUCCCAGUUCUUCCCCUUUAUUCGGACGUUCUGUCCCUUCCCCCCACUACACACUCACCCCAUGGGCUUCUAAUACACUAGAGCUUCCUUUGGGCACUCCAGGAGGCCGUGCCAAGCCUUCCUCCCGAAGGGAGCUCCCUUUAGAGCUGCUCGAGUCACCAGAAAGGGAGCGUUAAGGCACGGGAACCGUGGCACCCCCCACAGACAGACAGACUGGCAGACAGACAGAUUGGCAGACAAAGACAGAUAGAUGAACAGACACACACACACAGACAUAUGGACAGACAGACAGACGAGACAGACAACACGCUUUCCUGAACUUGUCUAAAGACCCUCCAGCUGCCUGUGCUCCCUCAGAGGCUGGGCUGAAAGGCCCCACUCCAGUCACGUCUCCUUCAUGCAGCACGAGGCAGGGAUCCUGGGGGUCUGGAGCCUGCCCGGGGCUGGGAAGUAGGCUAAAAGGCAAACCUGGAGAACUGGAGAGCUUCCAGCCCACGUGGAGGGGCUUUAGUGAACCUCAGGACAUCCACGUGUGAGCGUGCCACGUGUGGCUUCAGGUAUUGCUUCCUCCCUCGAGUAAUGCUAUCUUAAUAAGCCCACUGAGCAGCCACGAGGCUCUGGCGGUCAUUGGCAGGGCCAGGGGAGGGCUGGAUGGUGACCAACUCCCCAAAUUUUACACCUAUUUUUGUACUGUAUUCAUAUGCUACAUCUGAGAUUUCUAUUCAUUUGUAAAAUAAUCAAUUAUGGCAAACUUUGUAAUAAAACCCUUUGACGCCUCUCCCUGGGAGGAAAGACCUUG